rnacentral:rRNA from 1 species
GAUGAACGCUGGCGGCGUGCCUAAUUCAUGCAAGUCGAGCGAACAGACGAGGAGCUUGCUCCUCUGACGUUAGCGGCGGACGGGUGAGUAACACGUGGAUAACCUACCUAUAAGACUGGGAUAACUUCGGGAAACCGGAGCUAAUACCGGAUAAUAUAUUGAACCGCAUGGUUCAAUAGUGAAAGACGGUUUUGCUGUCACUUAUAGAUGGAUCCGCGCCGCAUUAGCUAGUUGGUAAGGUAACGGCUUACCAAGGCAACGAUGCGUAGCCGACCUGAGAGGGUGAUCGGCCACACUGGAACUGAGACACGGUCCAGACUCCUACGGGAGGCAGCAGUAGGGAAUCUUCCGCAAUGGGCGAAAGCCUGACGGAGCAACGCCGCGUGAGUGAUGAAGGUCAUCGGAUCGUAAAACUCUGUUAUUAGGGAAGAACAAAUGUGUAAGUAACUAUGCACGUCUUGACGGUACCUAAUCAGAAAGCCACGGCUAACUACGUG